AGUGCGGACCCCCAAAUGGGGGCUGGAGACCCCUCCCCAAAAUGGGGUUUGGGACCCGAAAUCGGGUCCGGGACCCCUCCCCAAAAUCGGAUCUGCGACCCCCAACUUGGGUUUGGGACCCCUCCCCAAAUGAGUCUGUGCCCCCAAAUGGGGUUAAGAACCCCUCCCCCAAUGGGGGCUGUGGCCCCUCCCCAAAUCGAGUCUGGGGUCUGUCCCCGCCCCCUCCCCAAACGAGGUCCCAGACCCCUCCCCAAAUGGGCUUUGGGACCCCUCCCCAAAUAAAGUUUGGGACCCAAAUGAGCUUUGGGACCCCUCCCCAAACGGGCUUUGGGACCCCUCCCCAAAUUUGGUUUGGGACCCCAAAUGAGCUUUGGGACCCCUCCCCAAAUGGGCUUUGGGACCCCUCCCCAAAUUUGGUUUGGGACCCUCCCCUUGGCAUCCGAGCCCCCCUUUUGGGGUCUGGUCCUGCCCCCUCCCCAAAUGGGUGUGUGCGGGAGUGCCCAGGUGUGUACAGGUGUGUACAGGUGUAACAGGUGUGUCACAGGUAUGUACAGGUGUAACAGGUGUGUAACAGGUGUGUAACAGGUGUGUACAGGUGUGUACAGGUGUUACAGGUGUGUACAGGUGUGUACAGGUGUAACAGGUGUGUACAGGUGUGAACAGGUGUGUACAGGUGUGUACAGGUGUGUAACAGGUGUGUACAGGUGUGUAGCAGGUGUGUAACAGGUGUGCACAGGUGUGUAACAGGUGUGUGCAGGUGUGUACAGGUGUGUACAGGUGUGUACAUGUGUGUAACAGGUGUGUACAGGUGU